AGGAGGGAGCGCGCGGAGAGCGAGGGAGGAGGGAGCGAGAGAGCAAGCGGCGGAGGGAGGGGAGACCAACUUCUAGUGCUACCAUAAUUCGCCUAAAGCAGGUGCAGCAACUUUCACCCCGCCUGGCAGCCCGCUGAGAGCGAGAGAAAACCACGUGCACCAAACUUUAGGGGAGGAAAAAUGGGAACGUGGGGAGAAGACGUGAGGCGGCAGAUCUGAAAAAGAUGGUCAUUCCGGACUCCUGACGCCGCCAGUCCCGCGGUGAGACGUGAGCGCCAUUGGCGUCCGUGGCCUCUGUUUCCGUGGCAACCUAGUAACCAUUAAUUUUCAAUUAAAGGAGACAAAAAGCUCGAUGACAGCUCCAGGUCUGCUGAAGAUGUCAAGAAUCUGUAUUAAUAUACAGCAAGAGAGCAUAAUUGUGUGUCCAUCUUCCAGAGCAGCGAAAAAUGGAGGGAUAAUUACCAGCUCGAAAGCCACUCUGUAAUUUAGUUCUUACUGUCACCACAGCCCUACACAUUAGCAUAAAUUAAAAGCAGAGUUUAUUGUUAUCAAAGUGCAUUG
rnacentral:lncRNA from 1 species